rnacentral:rRNA from 1 species
AUGGCCGUCGACGACAAUGUGCUGCCCUCGCCGUCGCCGCCGCCGCCACCGCCGCCGCGGAUCGUCGUCGUGGCGCUGGCGCUCACGCGCUCCGCCCUCGUGCCGAUGCUGGCGGCCCGGCGCGUCCUCCGCGUCGCGGCCAGGGCCUUCCCCUACCUGGCAUUCGCGCUCGCGUGGGCCAUCUCCGCGGCCUCGGCUGCCAAGAUCGUGGCGCGCCGCGCCUGGGGCGAGGGCUCCGCCCCCUUCCUCUUCCUCCAGGCGUUCACGUCCGGCGCUUACAAGGUCUGCGCCUACAGCUUCCUUGUCUUGCUCGCGCUCGCCGUGCUGCUGCUGUGCGGCCUGUGCGUGGCGUACGUGAUCGCAGUUCUAUCUGGACGCGGUCCAGAAUUCCAGAAGCGUGCCCUGGGAGCAAUCACGUGGGAGUCCAACUCGUUUAGGCUGCCUCGCAUGGCGGUGCUUGGAUUCAUCACAGUUGUGCCCUUCUUCGCGCUAGUUGUCGCCGGUCUUCUGUUGGCGAUGAUGUCGCAUGUGGAGGGAUCGGUGUCUCAGGGAGAAAUGGUCGGUUUUGUGAUCGUGGAUGUGGGUUUCUUUGGAAUGCACGCGACGUCUUGCGUUCUUAUCAUCCCAGCUCUAGCACUUGGCGCCUGGAGGUUCGACCAGGCGGACAGGAAAGCACAGUCGCAGUCUUGUUGA